UACGUAGGGUCCGAGCGUUAUCCGGAGUUACUGGGCGUAAAGGGCGUGUAGGCGGUUUGUCGCGUCUGCCGUGAAAAUUCGAGGCUCAACCUCGAACUUGCGGUGGGUACGGGCAGACUAGAGUGUGGUAGGGGAGACUGGAAUUCCUGGUGUAGCGGUGAAAUGCGCAGAUAUCAGGAGGAACACCGAUGGCGAAGGCAGGUCUCUGGGCCACUACUGACGCUGAGAAGCGAAAGCAUGGGGAGCGAACAGG
rnacentral:rRNA from 1 species